rnacentral:rRNA from 1 species
AGAGUUGAUCAUGGCUCAGAACGAACGCCGGUGGCGUGUCUUAUACAUGCAAGUCGAGCGAGGCAGCAAUGCCGAGCGGCGAACGGGUGAGUAACGCGUAAGCAAUCUGCCCCAUAUCAGGAAAUACCCGUGCCAACGCGCGGUUAAUGUCCAGGAGAGUGGCCCUCUGCAUGGAGGGUUGACUAGGGAUUUAUCGGUAUGGGAUGAGCUUGCGUCCGAUUAGCUAGUUGGCGGGGCAACGGCCACCAAGGCGACGAUCGGUAGCCGGCCUGAGAGGGUGAUCGGCCACAUUGGGACUGAGAUACGGCCCAGACUCCUACGGGAGGCAGCAGUAGGGAAUAUUGCACAAUGGGGGAAACCCUGAUGCAGCAACGCCACGUGUGGGAAGAAGCAUUUCGGUGUGUAAACCACUGUCAUGGGGGAAUAAGGCCCUUAUUCGUAAGGGAUUGAAUGUACCUUGAGAGGAAGCACCGGCAAACUUCGUGCCAGCAGCCGC